rnacentral:tRNA from 1 species
GGCGGCGUAGCUCAGAUGGCUAGAGCACGCGGUUCAUACCCGCGGUGUCGUUGGUUCAACUCCUACCGCCGCUACCA